rnacentral:rRNA from 1 species
UACGGAGGAUGCAAGCGUUAUCCGGAAUGAUUGGGCGUAAAGCGUCCGCAGGUGGCAAUGUAAGUCUGCUGUCAAAGCGUCUGGCUCAACCAGAUAACGGCAGUGGAAACUACAUAGCUAGAGUAAGGUAGGGGUAGAGGGAAUUCCUGGUGUAGCGGUGAAAUGCGUAGAGAUCAGGAAGAACACCGGUGGCGAAAGCGGCCUGCUGGACCGAAACUGACGCUGAGGGACGAAAGCGAGGGGAGCGAACGGG